AGUGAACGCUGGCGGUAGGCCUAACACAUGCAAGUCGAACGGCAGCACAGUAAGAGCUUGCUCUUACGGGUGGCGAGUGGCGGAAGGGUGAGGAAUACAUCGGAAUCUACUUUUUCGUGGGGGAUAACGUAGGGAAACUUACGCUAAUACCGCAUACGACCUACGGGUGAAAGCAGGGGAUCUUCGGACCUUGCGCGAGUGAAUGAGCCGAUGUCGGAGUAGCUAGUUGGCGGGGUAAAGGCCCACCAAGGCGACGAUCCGUAGCUGGUCUGAGAGGAUGAACAGCCACACUUGAGCUGAGACACGGUCCAGACUCCUACGGGAGGCAGCAGUGGGUACUAUUGGACGAUGGGCGCAAGCCUGAUCCAGCCAUACCGCGUGGGUGAAGAAGGCCUUCCGGUUGUAAAGCCCUUUUGUUGGGGAAGAAAAGCAGUAGGCUAAUACCCCGCUGUUCUGACGGUACCCAAAGAAUAAGCACCGGCUAACUUCGUG
rnacentral:rRNA from 1 species